AGUAGGCUACUAGUGUAAACUAUACAGAGGUUCUAAUCAUUUCAUCAUCAAACUUAAGGACUUGUUGAUGAAAUAAUUUUGGGAGAAACAGCAGCAGUAGUAAUUGCAGUUUGAACUGAGCACAUGGUUUUAGUAUAAUUUAAUCCCCUGUUUCUCAGCUUAGAUGUGGGAUUCUAAAGAACCAGGAGUUUAUCAGGAACCACCAGCCUCUAUUGGAACAUACACCAGGGACCAUUCCAGGAGGAGGAGUUGAUUCAUUAAGGGCUUUUGGACUUGAUUUCAAGCGUUCAAGGUUCUUUGUCACAUGCAUAGUUAUACAAGUAUAACACACAGUGAAGUGUAACCUGACUAGUAAGGGCACUGGGUUUCUAAAGUGAAAUGAAUUGAAAAUGCAAGUUGUGCGUUCACUCCUCAGACACCCGGACAAAAUUAUUGGAACACUACCGUUUAAAACAUAGCCAUUUCUCCCAAAAAUCUCCUGUUGAUUGACAAUCUCAUGAAGAUGACCUUAGCACUUCGUCGCCUAGAGAUUGUCAAGGAAGACCCAAUGAUCAUCGAGUUCUUACAGAAAUAGCCCGCUUUUCGCAUUGAUUCACAGAAAGCGGGUCGAACUGGCCAGACUGCAGAGGCUCUGGGCGGCAUGCUGAAUCUAUAUGAUAAACAGCAAGAACAGGACUCUGAUAUCAGACGUACUCUGGUCCUGCACGGUCUUCCAAUAUACCUACGGGAGGAGUAGCCACAAUUCUUCAAAGUUUGGCAUAUGGAAGAAUCACCAGAGCCAGAGAUCAUCAUCACCUCUGUUGGUAUUCUGACCAUUGUCAACACUACGAGCCCAAAGCACUUCAGUCCGGUCAGUGCAGCAGUUGUAGUGGAAGAUGAGCUUGUGGUAGGCGACAUUCCCAAGUGGGCUGAUGCAUUUGUCUUGUUGUUCGGAUUGUUUUAUGUCUUGCAUCUGGACUAUCCCAAAAACCUGGUUAACACAUUCACAUUCAUCCAGAAACCACUGAUGGGCCUUGAGGAUGGUAAACAGUUGAAACCAUGUCUUCUUCAACUCAAAAACAAUCUUUUACUGCCAGAGUAGCACGUACAGGUGCUGGCACUAUACUGCUGGCAAAAUUCAAACUGUUCCAAUGAAGCUGAUGCCUCACAUGACUAGUUGUACUAAACUGUAGUAAAGUUUCAUACAAAGUUCUGUAGGUAGGUUUAGGACAUCUGCUGCUAUCUGUUCCCCAUAGCCUGAGACAUAGACUGAGACAAACAUGCCUCUAGAUAGCUUUUUUUAUAUGGUGGGUGUUCUAUUUAACUUAGUCUUAUAAUGAAAACGUGUAAGAAAAUGCUCAUACAUAUUUUUUUUGUUUUAAAUGUUUCCUAAAUUCUAUUUUUAAAAGUUUUAAAAGGGAACAACUGGAGAAAAAACUGAUGCACUAUAUUAUUUGUUAUAAAAAUAUUAUUUAUGUUGAAGUUUAAGGGAAGGGCUAAAGAGUAGA